CAGCCGCCGCGGUAAUACGGAGGGCGCGAGCGUUACCCGGAUUUACUGGGCGUAAAGGGCGUGUAGGCGGCCUGGGGCGUCCCAUGUGAAAGGCCACGGCUCAACCGUGGAGGAGCGUGGGAUACGCUCAGGCUAGAGGGUGGGAGAGGGUGGUGGAAUUCCCGGAGUAGCGGUGAAAUGCGCAGAUACCGGGAGGAACGCCGAUGGCGAAGGCAACCACCUGGUCCACUUCUGACGCUGAGGCGCGAAAGCGUGGGGAGCAAACCGGAUUAGAUACCCCAGUAGUCCCUGUCUCUUAUAC
rnacentral:rRNA from 1 species